rnacentral:lncRNA from 1 species
GCUGAUGCCACGGGGGAAGCAGCGGAUGUGGGGACAGUGGCAGAAAAUGACUAGCGGGUCAGCUUUGCAAGAGGAGGGACUGUGGGGCUGAGUGCAUCUGGGCGACACGGGGACCUGAGGCCUCGGAAAGAGGAGCCAGGGUGGUGCUGCGGUGAGCUGUGUGUGCAAAGAUUCUUCUGAAGGUCAAAUAAGCUACAAGUUCCUGGCCCAGAAUAGAUAGCAAGGAAGCCAGCAAGGAAGCACCGUGGGAAAAGACAGGAACUAAAGGUGUGAGGUUCAGGUCGUGGGAUGGACUUCGGUGGGAGAGAGACCCCUGAUCCUUUGUCCUUCUUAUUAUCCAGCCUGUCUCCGUUGUAGGAGCAUGAAUUUGGAGUAGGGAGUGUUCUCUCAAAGUGUCCUUAGUGAUGGCAACAGUUCAAAUGAAGCUGGACACAGGCUGCUUUGGGAAGGUGGCCAGGCCCUGGAUGGGGGCUCACGGCUCUUGUCUGGCACCACAUCUGAUCCCUGGUCACUGUCUUUUUGGUCACCCUGGUGGACAUGGGUGUUUUCUGGUCUCUUCUGAUGUUCCCCCAAAUCCCAGUCUUGCCCUCCCCAUGCUUGGUGAUGCCACGCAGUGGAAUCUCACACGUGCCAUUCUGUGUCAGGAAGGUCAGAAGGUGUCAUUCUGAGAGGUUAGCCCGCAGGCCAUGCCACAGGAGUGACUCAGCGCCGGGGACCGCUGAUGAGUUUUCUGAAAGGUCGCUCCGAGAUUUACUGCGGAUGGGACAGCACGGGGCACAACCGAUAUUUGCAGAGUUUCUUCCAUCCCUUCGACCUUCUUAUGUAGUCUUUGCAAGAAUUUUGUGCCAUCGGUGGUGGUAUUUCCGUUUUUAUGUGGAAAAGAAAACAAGAGGCCUGUUCAAAGAAGUGAAGUACUUGCUUGAGGUUAUACGGGGGCUGAGCGGCGGAACCUGUGCUUGAACUUCCUCUGCCCAGCGGAUGAUUAGACGCUGCGUUUGGGGACCAGCAAAGGAAGGUCUCUGGGCAUUCGGGCGGUUUGUGGGGGUUGCACCUUCUGUUUCGUAUCCAUGCCCACGGCCUGAUGCAUCGUGCCCAGCUUGUUUUGGGAGGCCCUGUCCCAGAGUGGAAGCUGUGGUUCCUCGAAGCCUCUGGAAUCUUCCAGGCCUCCUUGUUGGAGUGGUGCGUUGCAUUUCAAUGAGAGGAAAAAAAUAAGCCAGAGGAGUUGCCAAAAGGGAAAAUGAAGUGCAUCUCUGUCUCCUCUUUGUGUGCACAGAUGUUUCCUCCCUGGGCCCCGCACCCCACCCCCUUCCCGGGGGCUCCCGGGCCGCAAACAGAUGGGAAGGGACCCGCGCUGGAGCAGAGAGCCAGACGCACUGGCAGAGGUCACCGUGCCCAGGACCGCAGAGGCGGGGAGCCGGGGGGAGUGGGGGAGCAGCCCAGGGAGAGGUCCUACGUGGGGUUUGGUUUCUGCCAUGCCCUCCAGCCUGAGCUAGUGCCCCAGCCAUGACUGAAGCACCAAGGUUUAAGGCGGCCAAAGCGCAAGGAGGAGAAGACUCUGUGGGGACCGAGAGCCUUUGGCAUCUGCUCUGCGCUGAGCCUCAGUUUCCCCAUCUGUAAAGGGGCAACAUGGGAUCAAGGGAUCUCUGCGGUUUCUGUGUUAGCCCUGCGUUGGUGGAGAAAGUUCUUCACUGUUGCUCAUUUCGUCUUCAUCUGGUUUCUUAAAAAAUAAAGCUCCACCCCCACCCCCACCCCAAGUCUCCCUGCCAUUUGAAGGAUAAUACCAUGAACCCGCAUUUGAUAAACAGUGUUCAUUUUAGAGGAUGGCAAGUGAGAUGGGAUCUGUCGAGGGGGAUUUUAUUAGCACAUAUUAUCUAAAUAUUUUAAAUGAGGCUGUGUUCAUGGCUUAGUUCAUCAUGGAAUACACAUUUUUUAAAAAAUGCCCUGAGGUGAAUAGGCUUAUCAUGGAAAAUCUAGAAAAUACAGAAAAGCAUAAA